CAGCAGCCACGGGAAUACGAGGGGGGCAAGCGUUGUUCGGAAUUAUUGGGCGUAAAGGGUGCGUAGGCGGCUUGACAAGUCUUGUGUGUAAUCUAUGGGCUCAACCCAUAGUCUGCACGGGAAACUGUCGGGCUUGAGAAUGGGAGAGGUGAGUGGAAUUUCCGGUGUAGCGGUGAAAUGCGUAGAUAUCGGAAGGAACACCUGUGGCGAAAGCGGCUCACUGGACCAUUUCUGACGCUGAUGCACGAAAGCUAGGGGAGCAAACAGGAUUAGAUACCCGAGUAGUCCCUGUCUCUUAUAC
rnacentral:rRNA from 1 species